rnacentral:lncRNA from 1 species
CCAUGUCGUCCUGGUGUCAGAACAGCAGUAGAAGCUUGCAUAAAUGCUGGAGUAAACAUCAAGAUGAUAACUGGAGACAAUAUCUUCACAGCAAAGGCUAUAGCAACUGAAUGUGGCAUUUUGCAACCCAAUGAGGAUAUGAGUGAAGCUGUAAUAGAAGGUGUACAGUUCCGAAAUUACUCACCAGAAGAGAGAAUGGCUAAGAUCAACAGAAUUUGUGUAAUGGCCAGAUCCUCACCUUUUGACAAACUUCUGAUAGUACGGUGUCUAAAGCAGAAUGGUCAUGUUGUAGCAGUCACCGGGGACGG